UACGUAGGGUCCGAGCGUUGUCCGGAAUUACUGGGCGUAAAGAGCUCGUAGGUGGUUUGUCGCGUUGUUCGUGAAAACUCACAACUCAAUUGUGGGCGUGCGGGCGAUACGGGCAGACUGGAGUACUGCAGGGGAGACUGGAAUUCCUGGUGUAGCGGUGGAAUGCGCAGAUAUCAGGAGGAACACCGGUGGCGAAGGCGGUUCUCUGGGCAUUACCUGACGCUGAGGAGCGAAAGCAUGGGGAGCGAACAGG
rnacentral:rRNA from 1 species